rnacentral:rRNA from 1 species
UACAGAGGGUGCAAGCGUUAAUCGGAAUUACUGGGCGUAAAGCGUGCGCAGGCGGUUUUGUAAGUCUGACGUGAAAUCCCCGGGCUCAACCUGGGAAUUGCGUUGGAGACUGCAAGGCUAGAAUCUGGCAGAGGGGGGUAGAAUUCCACGUGUAGCAGUGAAAUGCGUAGAGAUGUGGAGGAACACCGAUGGCGAAGGCAGCCCCCUGGGUCAAGAUUGACGCUCAUGCACGAAAGCGUGGGGAGCGAACAGG